rnacentral:rRNA from 1 species
UAAGGAAUAUUGGUCAAUGGACGCAAGUCUGAACCAGCCAUGCCGCGUGGAGGAUGAAGGUCCUCUGGAUUGUAAACUUCUUUUCUCUGGGGCGAAAAAAGCUCAUUCUUGGGCACUUGACAGUACCAGAGGAAUAAGCACCGGCUAACUCCGUGCCAGCAGCCGCGGUAAUACGGAGGGUGCAAGCGUUAUCCGGAUUCACUGGGUUUAAAGGGUGCGUAGGAGGGCAGGUAAGUCAGUGGUGAAAUCCCCGAGCUUAACUUGGGAACUGCCGUUGAUACUAUCUGUCUUGAAUGUUGUGGAGGUAAGCGGAAUAUGUCAUGUAGCGGUGAAAUGCUUAGAUAUGACAUAGAACACCAAUUGCGAAGGCAGCUUGCUACACAAUUAUUGACUCUGAUGCACGAAAGCGUGGGGAUCAAACAG